CCUACGGGUGGCAGCAGUGAGGAAUAUUGGUCAAUGGACGCAAGUCUGAACCAGCCAUGCCGCGUGCAGGAAGACGGCUCUAUGAGUUGUAAACUGCUUUUGUACGAGGGUAAACGCAGAUACGCGUAUCUGUCUGAAAGUAUCGUACGAAGAAGGAUCGGCUAACUCCGUGCCAGCAGCCGCGGUAAUACGGAGGAUUCAAGCGUUAUCCGGAUUUAUUGGGGUUAAAGGGUGCGUAGGCGGUCGGGUAAGUUAGAGGUGAAAGCCCGAGGCUCAACUUCGGAAUUGCCUCUGAAACUGUUCGGCUAGAGAGUAGUUGCGGUAGGCGGAAUGUAUGGUGUAGCGGUGAAAUGCUUAGAGAUCAUGAAGAACACCGAUUGCGAAGGCAGCUUACCGGGCUACUUCUGACGUUGAGGCACGAAAGCGUGGGGAGCAAACAGGAUUAGAUACCCUUGUAGUC
rnacentral:rRNA from 1 species